UGCGGGGUGGAGCAGGGGUAGCUUGCCUGGCUCAUAACCAGGAGGUCGCUGGUUCGAGUCCAGCCCCCGCAACCA
rnacentral:tRNA from 1 species